CCUACGGGUGACAGCAGUGGGGAAUAUUGCACAAUGGGGGAAACCCUGAUGCAGCAACGCCGCGUGAAGGAAGACGGUUUUCGGAUUGUAAACUUCUGUUCUUAGUGAAGAAUAAUGACGGUAGCUAAGGAGCAAGCCACGGCUAACUACGUGCCAGCAGCCGCGGGAAUACUUAGGUGGCAAGCGUUGUCCGGAAUUACUGGGUGUAAAGGAAGCGCAGGCGUGAAGCCAAGUCAGCGGUGAAAACUACGGGCUUAACUUGUAGAUUGCAGUUGAAACUGGUUUUCUUGAGUGAAGUAGAGGUUGGCGGAAUUCCGAGUGUAGCGGUGAAAUGCGUAGAUAUUCGGAGGAACACCGGUGGCGAAGGCAGCUUACUAAACUGCCACUGACAUUGAUGCUCGAAAGUGUGGGUAUCAAACAGGAUUAGAUACCCGGGUAGUC
rnacentral:rRNA from 1 species